CAAAUUAAAGCUUAAUUGAAGUGUUUUAGUUACAUUAAAAUGAUUAUCGUGAAAUUCGAUAUAAUUUGA
rnacentral:tRNA from 1 species